rnacentral:lncRNA from 1 species
GGCUUUGCACGAGGGGUGGGGCUUUGCAUGAGGCUUUGCACCAGGGCUGGGGGCGGCCACGAGCGUUGACACGAGCUCCUGAGGGGCUUUGCACAAGGGAUGAGGGGUUGCACGAGGAUUUGCACAAGGGUUGGGGGCUUUGCACGAGGCUUUGCACAAGGGUUGGGGCUUUGCACGAGGCUUUGCACCAGGGUGGGGGCGGCCACGAGCGUUGACACGAGGGCUGGAGGCUCCUGAGGGGCUUUGCACGAGGGAUGAGGGGUUGCACGAGGAUUUGCACAAGGGUUGGGGGCUUUGCACGAGGCUUUGCACAAGGGUUGGGGGCGGCCACGAGCAUUGACACGAGGGCUGGAGGCUCCUGAGAGGCUUUGCACGAGGGAUGAGGGGUUGCACGAGGGUUUGCACCAGGGUUGGGGGCUCCUGAGGGGCUUUGCACGUGGGCUGGGGGCUCCUGAGAGGCUUUGCACAAGGAUUUGCACAAGGGCUGGGGCUUUGCACAAGGGCUGGAGGCUCCUGAGAGCCUUUGCACGAGGGCUGGGGCUUUGCACGAGGGCCAGGGGCUGCCACAAGCAUUUACACAAGGGUUGGGGGCUCCCGAGAGGCUUUGCACCAGGGCUGGGGGCUCCUGAGGGGCUUUGCACGAGGGCUGGGGCUUUGCACGAGGGUUUUCACGGGGGCUGGGGCUUUGCACGAGGCUUUGCACGAGGGCCAGCCAGGCGUGUCCCCGCAGUGUCGCUGCUGAAGGACCUGAAGCACGCCAACGUGGUGACGCUGCACGACAUCAUCCACACCCAGAGCUGCCUCACCCUCGUCUUCGAGUACCUGGUGGGCACCCCAAAAACCCCAGAGCACCCCAAAUCCCCCCCCGGGACCCCAAAAUCCUACCUGGGGACCCCCAAAUCCACCCCCGGGACCCCAAAAUCCUACCUGGGGACCCCCAAAUCCCCCCCAGGCACCCCAAAAUCCCC